CGCCAAUUCAUGCCGCCCGUCUGUCGGAAGCAACCCAACGCUAUUUGCGUAUUCAGAAGAAGAGUACCUCAAAACUUUUCGUUUUUGAAAACACGCUUGUUUUGAGAGACAGGCCCAGCAACCAGCGUGCAAAUUCCCACCACACGAAGCUUCUUCACGGGCUCUAAACUCAACCGACCAUGCUAGGAUCUGCUGAGAUCCUAGGCAAAGUAUAUCUUGACUCGGAAGUUGGGAAGUCUCGAAGAGCUGGAUAGUUCUAAAGUGAGGACAGCGGCCAGCAAAAAAGCGGUUGCUGGGGCGAAAAAACGGCGGACGUCAGGCAGCAUCCACAAUCACCAUUUAUCUGGCCGCCUACUCUUUCGCACGUCGUUACUAUUUCCCUGGAACAUUUUAAAGUGGGUAAACUGUACCAGUCUUGGCUGUUCGCGAUUGUUCGGACCGCUUUGAUCUUGUAUCCUGAGAAAUGUACCGAGCCUGAGUAAUGUAGUGUAUUUCUUGUAAUUCUAAUAAACAUACAGGGCAUUGUUUUGUUAUUCAA